rnacentral:misc_RNA from 1 species
GCCCCCUUCAUCAUGGUUUAUCUUGUUAAUGAAGAUCAAGCAUCCUUGGUCAAUAUACACAUUAAUUAAAAGUACAGUUUAGCUGCCCAGACAUGAAGUCAAAAACCAACAACUAAAGAGAACAACAUAGCUAAGCAACCAAGAGACAUUACGUGCACAAAAAUCAUCUACGAGAGAGAUGAGAAAAACUAGGCAGGUUUUUCUUUGUACUCAAAAUCUUCGUGAGCUCAAGGAACACUGCAUCAAUAUCGGACAGCGACCCUUCAGAGCUGCAUGGUAUUGGAAUAUUGUUUCUUGCUGAGCACUCGCUUGCAUAAUAAAGAAUCAAAGCCACUAGCUCUGCUGCAAAUCAAUCAGGGUGGGACUGGUCUGACUCUGCUGCUGUUUCCUGUUAAACCAUCAUCUCCAUGUUCCUGGUCCACCAUUUCCCGUAUGAGUGCCCUGAAAACAACUUCAGAGGAA